rnacentral:tRNA from 1 species
GACUGCGUAAUUUAAUGGAUAGAAUAUCAGAUUCCGGUUCUGACAGUAAGGGUUCGAAUCCCUUCGUGGUCGCUA